rnacentral:rRNA from 1 species
UACAGAGACUGCAAGCGUUAUUCGGAUUCACUGGGCGUAAAGGGUGCGCAGGCGGUUGGGUGUGUCAGGUGGGAAAUCCCGAGGCUUAACCUCGGAACUGCGUCUGAAACUACUCGACUAGAGUACUGGAGAGGGAAACGGAAUUCACGGUGUAGCAGUGAAAUGCGUAGAUAUCGUGAGGAACACCAGAGGCGAAGGCGGUUUCCUGGACAGUUACUGACGCUGAGGCGCGACAGCGUGGGGAGCAAACAGG